AACGAACGCUGGCGGCGUGCUUAACACAUGCAAGUCGAACGCACCGCAAGGUGAGUGGCGCACGGGUGAGUAACGCGUGGGAAUCUACCUUUUGGUUCGGAAUAACACAGGGAAACUGGUGCUAAAACCGGAUACGCCCUUCGGGGGAAAAAUUUAUUGCCAAAAGAUGAGCCCGCGUUGGAUUAGCUAGUUGGUGAGGUAAUGGCCAACCAAGGCGACGAUCCAUAGCUGGUCUGAGAGGAUGAUCAGCCACACUGGGACUGAGACACGGCCCAGACUCCUACGGGAGGCAGCAGUGGGGAAUAUUGGACAAUGGGGGAAACCCUGAUCCAGCAACGCCGCGUGAGUGAUGAAGGUCUUCGGAUUGUAAAGCUCUUUUGGCAGGGACGAUGAUGACGGUACCUGCAGAAUAAGCUCCGGCUAACUUCGUGCCAGCAGCCGCGGUAA
rnacentral:rRNA from 1 species